CCCACCGCCCACCCACGAGCUCGCUGUGCCGCCGUCUUUCCAAGCCUUGUGUUGACAGCUAUCAUUUUCAAACUCCUCUUCAGGCCUUUCUUCCUCCUUUCAAGUUCAGGCUCUUCCGUGGUUAAAAUCAUCUUCUCUACAUUUUCCCUUUCCUUCCUCUCAGCCUGUGCUGGGGGCGGGGAGCAGGCAAAAGUAAGGAAGAAGGCUGAUUUUCCAGGCUGAACUUCAGAGGGUGAAGGCCACGUAAUCAAGCAGAGAGCCUUCUGUUCUGGGAACCACGCAAGACAGACAGGUGGACCAGCUGACUGAAGUCCUGCCUGAGGGGGGCUGAACCCUGGGCUGUAAGGUCCCUUUGAAAUGCGAGCGGCUACAUUUUGGUGGAUAUCAAAGGACUUUGGGAAGCAUCUACGUGAGGCUAACCAAAGCUGAUGGAAAAACCUAGCCUCUAUCUGGAACACUGUCAAUCUGGCAGAAAGAAAAAGACAAGACAAAUGAGGCCCUGACUUCUACAACUUAGCACAAAAGUGAUCAACAUCUCUUUGGCCAAAGCAAGUCACAUGGCCAUUCCCAAGGUCAACAGUGUGGCGAUAUAUCCUACAGAGAGGAGCGCAGCUGGGAAAGAAACUGGAAAGUUUGGUGAACAAGAAGACAUCUCCCACUACCUCCUCCUAGGACAACUUCCCUCCCAGAGGGAAAGCUGGAAUCAAGUGACUUUCUCCUUUGUAUAUCUGAGCAACGCAGUUUCUCCAUCUCUGCAUAAAGAUUUACCACAUCGCUCGCAUACCCAGGCCGGCUGAUAUUUUAGGAACGUGAAUCAGAGUGUCUGGCAUGGCUCCCUCUGCAGCCGAGCUCCGGCUGCAGGCAUAAUGAAGUUGGGAGG